rnacentral:ncRNA from 1 species
AUCUUCAGGGCAGGGUGAAAUUCCCUACCGGCGGUACAGCCCGCGAGCCGGCAUGGCUGAUCCGGUGAGAUUCCGGAGCCGACAGUACAGUCUGGAUGGAAGAAGAG